rnacentral:rRNA from 1 species
AGGACGAACGCUGGCGGCGUGCUUAACACAUGCAAGUCGAGCGGAAAGGCCCUUCGGGGUACUCGAGCGGCGAACGGGUGAGUAACACGUGAGCAACCUGCCCCUGGCUCUGGGAUAGCCUUCGGAAACGGGGAUUAAUACCGGAUAUUCACUGCUUCCUGCAUGGGGGGUGGUGGAAAGUUUUUCGGCUGGGGUGGGCUCGCGGCCUAUCAGCUUGUUGGGGGGGUGACGGCCCACCAAGGCGACGACGGGUAGCCGGCCUGAGAGGGCGACCGGCCACACUGGGACUGAGACACGGCCCAGACUCCUACGGGAGGCAGCAGUGGGGAAUAUGCGCAAUGGGCGGAAGCCUGACGCAGCGACGCCGCGUGCGGGAUGAAGGCCUUCGGGUUGUAAACCGCUUUCACCAGGGACGAAGCGAGAGUGACGGUACCUGGGGAAGAAGCGCCGGCUAACUACGUGCCAGCAGCCGC